GGAGGACCAAGUGAUAAGAGUCCCUGAUAUCCAAAUCCAAAUUCUUCUUCUAGACAAGCAAGAGGAUCAGUCCAGAGAGAGAAGAAAGAUGAAGACUUUAGCGGUUGUUCUGGUGCUUGCAUUGGCCUUCAGCUUUGGAAAAGCUCUGAGGUGCUACCAGCAGUAUAAUAUAUUUGGAGCCGGUUUUACCACGGUGGUGACGUGUAAGGGACCCAGAGUAAUGUGCGCCGAAGUGCUGCUCACACCUCCCUACCCCAACCGCAAAAGUAGCUUCAGAAAUUGCAUGGAGUGGACCGAAUGCCAAAAGUUUGGUCUUAAGCCCAAACUUUGGACGGUCAGAUGCUGUGGGACAGACCUCUGCAACUAAGGCCCAGAGCUGGGGUCGGAGGUCACCAAGGUUACAUCUCUACCAGGGUUAUUCCCAUUUUGAAAUGGGCCAUUUCCCUUUCUGUACCAUCUGUAGUGAGGAAGUGGAUUGACAUGCAUCACAAUAAAGCUGUUAUGAAUCUGUAAAAUGUAUAUACUGUCUGUGAGACUCUUUUUUUUUUAAUUGGUGUAUAAAACCUUGUUGAAUUCCUAGUUUCUUUGCAAUGAGUGGUUAAUGAAAAGUGACAUUUACAUGUAAAGUGGGAGUAGGCCCAUUACGUGAAGGCAGGGGUCGGGAACCUUCUCAGACGGAGGGGCCUCCAAAUGUAUGAACUUGAAAUUCUUCUUAGAAGGGCUGACAUGCAAAUUUACAUAAUUAUAAUUUCAACUUUUUAGGGAAGACA